UAGGGUAUCUUCCGCAAUGGGCGAAAGCCUGACGGAGCAACGCCGCGUGAGUGAUGAAGGUCUUCGGAUCGUAAAACUCUGUUGUUAGAGAAGAACAGCGCAUAGAGUAACUGUUAUGCGUGUGACGGUAUCUAACCAGAAAGCCACGGCUAACUACGUGCCAGCAGCCGCGGUAAUACGUAGGUGGCAAGCGUUGUCCGGAUUUAUUGGGCGUAAAGCGAGCGCAGGCGGUCAAUUAAGUCUGAUGUGAAAGCCCCCGGCUCAACCGGGGAGGGUCAUUGGAAACUGGUUGACUUGAGUGCAGAAGAGGAGAGUGGAAUUCCAUGUGUAGCGGUGAAAUGCGUAGAUAUAUGGAGGAACACCAGUGGCGAAGGCGACUCUCUGGUCUGUAACUGACGCUGAGGCUCGAAAGCGUGGGUAGCAAACAGG
rnacentral:rRNA from 1 species